UAAGCAGAGUGUGAAGCGUACGGCUCAACCGUAUAUACAUGUUCUGAACUGGUAAACUAGAGGAUGAGAGAGGUUAAUGGAAUUGCUAGUGUAGGAGUGAAAUCCGUAGAUAUUAGCAGGAACACCGAUGGCGUAGGCAGAUAACUGGCUCAUACCUGACACUAAGGCACGAAAGCGUGGGGAGCGAACGGGAUUCGAUACCCCGGUAGUCCACGCCGUAAACGAUGGAUGCUA
rnacentral:rRNA from 1 species